rnacentral:rRNA from 1 species
GUGGGGAAUAUUCCGCAAUGGACGAAAGUCUGACGGAGCAACGCCGCGUGAGUGAUGAAGGUUUUCGGACUGUAAAGCUCUGUUGUUUAGGACGAAAGUGCCUGUUGCGAACAGUUACAGGUAUUGACGGUACUAAACGAGGAAGCCACGGCUAACUACGUGCCAGCAGCCGCGGUAAUACGUAGGUGGCAAGCGUUGUCCGGAAUUAUUGGGCGUAAAGAGCAUGUAGGCGGAGGUUUAAGUUUGUUGUGAAAAUGCGGGGCUCAACCCCGUAUUGCGAUGGAAACUGGGUUUCUUGAGUGCAGGAGAGGAAAGGGGAAUUCCCAGUGUAGCGGUGAAAUGCGUAGAUAUUGGGAGGAACACCAGUGGCGAAGGCGCCUUUCUGGACUGUGUCUGACGCUGAGAUGCGAAAGCCAGGGUAGCGAACGGGAUUAGAAACCCCUGUAGUCC